UACGUAGGGCGCAAGCGUUGUCCGGAAUUAUUGGGCGUAAAGAGCUCGUUGGUGGCUGGUCGCGUCUGCCGUGAAAGCCCGCAGCUUAACUGCGGGUCUGCGGUGGAUACGGGCCGGCUAGAGGUAGGUAGGGGCAAGUGGAAUUCCUGGUGUAGCGGUGAAAUGCGCAGAUAUCAGGAGGAACACCGGUGGCGAAGGCGGCUUGCUGGGCCUUACCUGACGCUGAGGAGCGAAAGCGUGGGGAGCGAACAGG
rnacentral:rRNA from 1 species